rnacentral:rRNA from 1 species
GACGAACGCUGGCGGCGUGCCUAAUACAUGCAAGUCGUACGCUUCUUUUUCCACCGGAGCUUGCUCCACCGGAAAAAGAAGAGUGGCGAACGGGUGAGUAACACGUGGGUAACCUGCCCAUCAGAAGGGGAUAACACUUGGAAACAGGUGCUAAUACCGUAUAACAAUCGAAACCGCAUGGUUUUGAUUUGAAAGGCGCUUUCGGGUGUCGCUGAUGGAUGGACCCGCGGUGCAUUAGCUAGUUGGUGAGGUAACGGCUCACCAAGGCCACGAUGCAUAGCCGACCUGAGAGGGUGAUCGGCCACAUUGGGACUGAGACACGGCCCAAACUCCUACGGGAGGCAGCAGUAGGGAAUCUUCGGCAAUGGACGAAAGUCUGACCGAGCAACGCCGCGUGAGUGAAGAAGGUUUUCGGAUCGUAAAACUCUGUUGUUAGAGAAGAACAAGGAUGAGAGUAACUGUUCAUCCCUUGACGGUAUCUAACCAGAAAGCCACGGCUAACUACGUGCCAGCAGCCGCGGUAAUACGUAGGUGGCAAGCGUUGUCCGGAUUUAUUGGGCGUAAAGCGAGCGCAGGCGGUUUCUUAAGUCUGAUGUGAAAGCCCCCGGCUCAACCGGGGAGGGUCAUUGGAAACUGGGAGACUUGAGUGCAGAAGAGGAGAGUGGAAUUCCAUGUGUAGCGGUGAAAUGCGUAGAUAUAUGGAGGAACACCAGUGGCGAAGGCGGCUCUCUGGUCUGUAACUGACGCUGAGGCUCGAAAGCGUGGGGAGCAAACAGGAUUAGAUACCCUGGUAGUCCACGCCGUAAACGAUGAGUGCUAAGUGUUGGAGGGUUUCCGCCCUUCAGUGCUGCAGCUAACGCAUUAAGCACUCCGCCUGGGGAGUACGACCGCAAGGUUGAAACUCAAAGGAAUUGACGGGGGCCCGCACAAGCGGUGGAGCAUGUGGUUUAAUUCGAAGCAACGCGAAGAACCUUACCAGGUCUUGACAUCCUUUGACCACUCUAGAGAUAGAGCUUCCCCUUCGGGGGCAAAGUGACAGGUGGUGCAUGGUUGUCGUCAGCUCGUGUCGUGAGAUGUUGGGUUAAGUCCCGCAACGAGCGCAACCCUUAUUAUCAGUUGCCAGCAUUAAGUUGGGCACUCUGGUGAGACUGCCGGUGACAAACCGGAGGAAGGUGGGGAUGACGUCAAAUCAUCAUGCCCCUUAUGACCUGGGCUACACACGUGCUACAAUGGAUGGUACAACGAGUUGCGAACUCGCGAGAGUAAGCUAAUCUCUUAAAGCCAUUCUCAGUUCGGAUUGUAGGCUGCAACUCGCCUACAUGAAGUCGGAAUCGCUAGUAAUCGCGGAUCAGCAUGCCGCGGUGAAUACGUUCCCGGGCCUUGUACACACCGCCCGUCACACCAUGAGAGUUUGUAACACCCAAAGUCGGUGGGGUAACCUUUUAGGAACCAGCCGCCUAAGGUGGGACAGAUGAUUAGGGUG